AUUGAACGCUGGCGGCAUGCCUUACACAUGCAAGUCGAACGGUAACGGGCCUUCGGGUGCCGACGAGUGGCGAACGGGUGAGUAAUGCAUCGGAACGUACCUUUCAGUGGGGGAUAACGUAGCGAAAGUUACGCUAAUACCGCAUAUUCUGUGAGCAGGAAAGCCGGGGAUCGGAAGACCUUGCGCUGAUUGAGCGACCGAUGUCAGAUUAGCUAGUUGGUGGGGUAAAGGCUCACCAAGGCGACGAUCUGUAGCGGGUCUGAGGGGAUGAUCCGCCACACUGGGACUGAGACACGGCCCAGACUCCUACGGGAGGCAGCAGUGGGGAAUUUUGGGCAAUGGGGGCAAGCCUGAUCCAGCCAUGCCGCGUGAGUGGAGAAGGCCUUCGGGUUGUAAAGCUCUUUCGGCCGGGAAGAAAUCGUUUUCUCUAACAUAGGACAUGGAUGACGGUACCGGACUAAGAAGCACCGGCUAACUACGUGCCAGCAGCCGCGGUAAUAC
rnacentral:rRNA from 1 species